UUCAAUACCCUGACUCUGUUAAAAAAUUUUACAGUUCUUUUAUUCCUUUAGAUUAUGAUAUGGAUGGAUGAUGGAAGGAAGGAUCUAUGAAUAUAAUAUUUGAGUUUCAGUUACUGGCCUUUACUUCUUCCAGAAAGUCAGGCCAAAAGAACAAAGUCCUAGAAGGUCUUCUGGUGAGUCACAUUCUGAGCAGCAAAACUGGCAUUGAGGCAUAAUUAACAUUCAGAUUGCCCCCAGUUUCUAUGGAGAUGAGUCUAGCCCCUCGGGGGAGUAGUGAUGGAUGUGUAAUCUCCAAGAUAAGUAACUGACAGGCUGUAUUCUAGGAACUCAAAAUGAAAGAAAAAUAGGAUAUGUUUCUUACUUUAGAGACCACAGAAACUAGUCUCCUAUAUUGGACCUUCUUGGUAAGAGCCCCAUCCCUUCAAAGGCCACAUGAAUCUGAAGGCCAAUAUUCAAGUCCUAUGCUGUUAUUAUCAACUUGGAUGCAGCGAGUCAUCUGACCUGACCUGUGGACACAGCCUCUGCAUCUGUUGAGAGGAUUAAAGAAGUCUAAUUCACAGUUACUGCAAGUAUAAUGGAGCUGAGAGGAUGGUGUGAGCAAUAGCACCAAUGUAAGAGUUAUCAUAGAUUAACACACUACUGGUUCUGAUGCAGCACAUAAGGCAAGUACCAUGGGAAUGCAGAGGAGAAAGAAAUUAGGGAGAUCAACAAGGUUUCACAAAGCAGCUAUGGUGAACUUGGCCUUGAGAGUAGGGUUUUCCUGGUGAAGAAAAACAUUCUAGGCAGAAGAAAUAGCAUACACAAAGACUCAGAGGCACCAAAGAGUCCUGUGUGUGUGGUGAAUAAUGAACAGAAAUUGCCAUAGAUUAGGUGGGAAGUCAUUGGUGUUAAUUUAUAGGUUUGAUAGAAGCCAAUUCUUGAAGGGUUUUGUAUGCCACAGUAAAGGACAGAGUUUUAUUUAAGGAGCCACUGAAAAGCUUCAUUCAUUCUACAAAUAACUUUUUCGGUGAGCCAGUAUGUGCCAAGCAUGGUUGUAAGUACUUGUAAUACAUCAGAAUAAUAAUAAAAAGAGUAUUCAUGUACCCACCACCCAAUUUAAAAACUAAGAAAUUGUCAAUCCUUAUGUAAGUCUCUGUGUUUCCCUUGUCAAUGGAAUCCUUCUCCUUGCUCCCCAAAAGUAACCCAAACGCUAAGUUUUGUGUUUGUCAUUUUCUUGUUUUUCAUUUCAGUUUUACUCAUAUGUGAGGAAAGGGGCUUAAGAAAUAUUUGCUCAAUUGAUAAAUAAAAAUAAAAAUAUAUGCCCCUGUGUGGGUGGUCUCCAGGGCCCUUUCUCACAGAUAUUGCUUCUACUUCUGUUGUUGUAAUUCCAGUGCUCCCAACCAGUCUUCCAUCCUCAGUUUUCUUGACUUAUAUGCUGGUGUAUCUCUGUAUGAAAUUGUUCUAUUUACUAUUGAAGUAACUUUAUACAAAUUACUCUUGGAAUCCCUUUUCUUUGACAUAGCACCUAUUUAUAAUUUUUAUCUCUUCUUUCUAUCUUUAUCCACACGUAAGUGGAAUAAUCACAAUUGUAGAUAUUUUACAUUUUGUGCUUCAGUUUUUCACUUUGUACGUUUCUGUAGUUUUUGUAUUUCUAGUCUUUGUAUUAAUUAUUUUUAUGACUGCACAAUAUUCUAUCAAGCAAAUAUAUUAUAAUUUGUUUGAUCAUAAUUAAAUUGCUGGAUAGUCAGGCUGCUUCCCAUUUUAAAUGAUUGUAAGUAGCAUUGCUGCAAAAACCUUUUCACUUAAAAGAUUUUUUGUCUUUUAUUUCCUUAGGAUAUAUUUUCAUAAAUGAGAUUAUUCAGUCAAAGGCUUGAUGAAUUUUGUG
rnacentral:lncRNA from 10 species